GUGUCAGCAGCCGCGGUAAAACGUAGGGGGCGAGCGUUGUCCGGAAUUACUGGGCGUAAAGCGCGUGUAGGCGGGCUUAUAAGUCGGGUGUGAAAACUCUGGGCUCAACCCAGAGACUGCAUCCGAAACUGUAGGUCUUGAGGGCGGGAGAGGAAAGUGGAAUUCCUAGUGUAGCGGUGAAAUGCGUAGAUAUUAGGAGGAACACCAGUGGCGAAGGCGGCUUUCUGGCCCGAACCUGACGCUGAGACGCGAAAGCGUGGGGAGCAAACAGGAUUAGAUACCCUGGUAGUCCACGCCGUAAACGAUGGGCACUAGGUGUAGGAGGUAUCGACCCCUUCUGUGCCGCAGCUAACGCAUUAAGUGCCCCGCCUGGGGAGUACGGCCGCAAGGUUGAA
rnacentral:rRNA from 1 species